AAGUUGCAGGGUAUAGACCCGAAACCCGGUGAUCUAGCCAUGGGCAGGUUGAAGGUUGGGUAACACUAACUGGAGGACCGAACCGACUAAUGUUGAAAAAUUAGCGGAUGACCUGUGGCUGGGGGUGAAAGGCCAAUCAAACCGGGAGAUAGCUGGUUCUCCCCGAAAGCUAUUUAGGUAGCGCCUCGUGAAUUCAUCUCCGGGGGUAGAGCACUGUUUCGGCUAGGGGGCCAUCCCGGCUUACCAACCCGAUGCAAACUGCGAAUACCGGAGAAUGUUAUCACGGGAGACACACGGCGGGUGCUAACGUCCGUCGUGAAGAGGGAAACAACCCAGACCGCCAGCUAAGGUCCCAAAGUCAUGGUUAAGUGGGAAACGAUGUGGGAAGGCCCAGACAGCCAGGAUGUUGGCUUAGAAGCAGCCAUCAUUUAAAGAAAGCGUAAUAGCUCACUGGUCGAGUCGGCCUGCGCGGAAGAUGUAACGGGGCUAAACCAUGCACC
rnacentral:rRNA from 1 species